rnacentral:rRNA from 1 species
GGAUAAAGGUAAUUAUUAGUAAAUUUGUGAAAUUUAAUAUUUUUGGCGGUUAAUCAUUGAAUUGGAGGAGCUUGUUAUAUUAAUAUGGAAUUUACUCUUUGUAUUUUAUGAAUUAAUGGUUUAUUUAUCUCCGUUAUAAGAUUUAGAUUAUAAUUAUUAAUUGAUAUUAUUUCAGGUCAAGAUGUAGCAGAGAAUUCUUUAUAAUUAGCUACAAUUUUUUAAAAGUGGAUGUUUGGAAAGAAUAAGAUAAUUGAAAUUGAAUUCAGUUGUAAUAAGUUUUAUAAGGAAAUUAUGAAGUUAAAUUGGUUA